rnacentral:rRNA from 1 species
UUUACCAAAAACAUGGCUUCUUGCAGAUACAUAAAUAAGGAGUCGGACCUGCCCAGUGAAUUUUUUCAACGGCCGCGGUACUCUGACCGUGCAAAGGUAGCAUAAUCAUUUGCCUUAUAAUUGAAGGCUGGUAUGAAUGGUUUGACAAGAGUAUAGCUGUCUCUUCAUAAUUUGAUAGAACUUUAUUUUGGAGUGAAGAAGCUCCAAUUGAAUUAAAAGACAAGAAGACCCUAUCGAGCUUUAAAAAAAUUGAUGGAAUAUAAUAUUAAUAUGAGAGUUAAAAAAUUAGCUAUUAAAUAUUUUGGUUGGGGCGACUAAGGAACAAAAGUAGCUUCCUUUUAUAUGUUAUAACAUACAAGUAUUGAUCCAAGAUUUUUGAUUAAAGAAAUUAGUUACCGUAGGGAUAACAGCAUUAUCCUCUUUGAGAGUUCUUAUCGAAAAGGGGGUUUGUGACCUCGGUGUUGGACCAGAAUAUCCUAAAGAUGCAGAAGUCCUUAAGGGUUGGUCUGUUCGACCAUUAAAAUUCUACGUGAUCUGAGUUCAGACCGG